GCUUUUAAAGGAUAACAGCCCAUCCGUUGGUCUUAGGAACCAAAAACUCUUGGUGCACUCCAGUGAAAGCU
rnacentral:tRNA from 1 species